AUUGAACGCUGGCGGCAGGCCUAACACAUGCAAGUCGAGCGAGCGGCGGACGUGUUAUUCUUGCCUGGGAAUUGCCCUGUCGAGGGGUAUAACAUUUGGAAACGACUGCUAAUACCUCCUACCCUUUGAUUGCCCAGGUUGGAUUGGCUAGUUGGUGAGGUAAUGGCUCACCAAGGCGACGAUCCCUAGCUGGUCUGAGAGGAUGAUCAGCCACACUUGAACUGGGCCACGGUCCUGACUCUUACGGGAGGCAGCAGUGGGGAAUAUUUCACCAUGGGGGAAACCCUGAUGCAGCCAUGCCGCGUGUGUGAAGAAGGCCUUCGGGUUGUAAAGCACUUUCAGCGAGGAGGCGUUACUCGAAGAAGAAGCACCGGCUAACUCCGUGCCAGCAGCCGCGGUAAUUG
rnacentral:rRNA from 1 species